GAUGAACGCUGGCGGCGUGCCUAAUACAUGCAAGUCGAGCGAACAGACGAUGAGCUUGCUCCUCUGACGUUAGCGGCGGACGGGUGAGUAACACGUGGAUAACCUACCUAUAAGACUGGGAUAACUUCGGGAAACCGGAGCUAAUACCGGAUAAUAUAUUGAACCGCAUGGUUCAAUAGUUAAAGACGGUUUUGCUGUCACUUAUAGAUGGAUCCGCGCCGCAUUAGCUAGUUGGUAAGGUAACGGCUUACCAAGGCAACGAUGCGUAGCCGACCUGAGAGGGUGAUCGGCCACACUGGAACUGAGACACGGUCCAGACUCCUACGGGAGGCAGCAGUAGGGAAUCUUCCGCAAUGGGCGAAAGCCUGACGGAGCAACGCCGCGUGAGUGAUGAAGGUCUUCGGAUCGUAAAACUCUGUUAUUAGGGAAGAACAACUGUGUAAGUAACUAUGCACGUCUUGACGGUACCUAAUCAGAAAGCCACGGCUAACUACGUG
rnacentral:rRNA from 1 species